CGUAGCCGCGGUAAUACGUAGGUGGCAAGCGUUGUCCGGAAUUAUUGGGCGUAAAGGGCUCGCAGGCGGUUUCUUAAGUCUGAUGUGAAAGCCCCCGGCUCAACCGGGGAGGGUCAUUGGAAACUGGGAAACUUGAGUGCAGAAGAGGAGAGUGGAAUUCCACGUGUAGCGGUGAAAUGCGUAGAGAUGUGGAGGAACACCAGUGGCGAAGGCGACUCUCUGGUCUGUAACUGACGCUGAGGAGCGAAAGCGUGGGGAGCGAACAGGAUUAGAGACCCCAGUAGUCCCUGUCUCUUAUACA
rnacentral:rRNA from 1 species